UACGGAGGGGGCUAGCGUUGUUCGGAAUUACUGGGCGUAAAGCGCGCGUAGGCGGCUUCGCAAGUCAGAGGUGAAAGCCCGGGGCUCAACCCCGGAAUUGCCUUUGAGACUGCGUCGCUAGAAUCCGGGAGAGGUGAGUGGAAUUCCGAGUGUAGAGGUGAAAUUCGUAGAUAUUCGGAAGAACACCAGUGGCGAAGGCGGCUCACUGGACCGGUAUUGACGCUGAGGUGCGAAAGCGUGGGGAGCAAAC
rnacentral:rRNA from 1 species